CCAAGGAGUAUUUCCUCUGCCAUUUGUCUUCUCAGGUUGCUUAUAUGAUCCCCAGGAGGAUUGAUACUGAAAUGUUGUGGAAUGUCAGGAAAGUGCUUCACCGUUUCCUUUGCCAUCUUCAAAAAAGAAAAGAAAAAAACAACUGAUUGUGCGCUUUUGGAACUUUUUUGGAUGUUUUCACCCAUUUGCAUUGUUUGGACAGGCAAAGAGAAAAUUCUUCAAAUCUACAUUUGUGUUCAAUGAAGAAAGUCAUACACAUCUAUUGCAUAAGGGCAAAGAAACAGCUCUGGAGGAUUUACAAUAAUCUAAAACAGAAGACUGCAAGGUAACCUUACGAAAACUCAGUGUUGUGACGGGCGAUUCAACCUCAUUCUGAAGUACUGUCUGUUGGACAACAGUUUCAUUCAGACAUCCUGUGAAAUUGUUCUAAUUUCUCAUAUUAUUAAUUAAUGUGAUGAAAAAAGACUUACUGGAAUUUUUGGGAUGCAUUCAUCAGCGUCUCAACAUCGGUUUCAGCACUUGCUGGAUCCACAACAAAAAUUGUG